rnacentral:rRNA from 1 species
GAUUAACGCUCGCGGCAGGCAUAAUACAUGCAAGUUGAACGGCAGCACAGGUAGCACUCCUGGGUGGCGAGUGGCGCACGGGUGCGUAACACGUAUGCAACCUACCCUAUACAGGCGAAUAGCCUCUAGAAAUGAGGGCUAAUACGCCGUAGUAUUACAGAUGGGCAUCUAUUUGUAAUUAAAUAUUUAUCGGUAUAGGAUGGGCAUGCGUACCAUUAGUUAGUGGGUAAGGUAACGGCUACCAAGGCGAUGAUGGGUAGGGGCUCGGAGAGGACGUACCCCCGGACUGGUACUGAGGCACAGACCAGACUGCUACGGGAGGCAGCAGUAAGGUAGAUUGGGCGAGGGAGGCGAGGCUGACCCAGCCAUGCCGGGUGCAGGAAGACGGCGUUAUGGGUUGUAAACUGCUUUUAUACGGGAAUAAUAGGGUGUACGCGUACAUUUAUGCAAGUAGCGGAUGAAUAAGCACCGGCUAACUCCGUG